GCACGAGAAAGCAUUGGAUGCGCGCGCAUGCCUAUAUGACACGUCCUUCCGCUCCACGGCGUCAGCCACCACAUAAACCUCCGGUUUGCGGCUACCGCAACAGCAGCAGCUGCUUUUUUCACCCGCUCCCUCCUUGAUCUCCCUAAAAUUACUGUGACAGACGUUAACCGAAUCAUUCAGGCUAAUUCCGCCACAGCCAGCAAGGGAAAGGACAAAGGAUUUACACUCUACGUGUCAAAUUACGUCCAUAACUAUGAAGUUUCAAACAAGGCGUGUGUGGCCGGCCCCGCCCUGUGGAACCACGUAGCAGCUCUCUUGUACCAGACUGCCCACUACUCCCAGAAGAAGCUCACCUCUGUCCCACCAGUGCACAGCUGCACAGAGUCAGAACAGAGGUGGCACAAGCCAAGAACCAUGGAGUAACCAUUGCAUCCUUCAUAUGGUUAAGUGCAAAGCUAGUCAACUCUAUCCUUACCACAGAGAAGAUGAGAAAGUUCAAAUAUCAGCGAACAUCUGGUACAACUGCUGAACACUGUUGUGUGUCUUUAUGCCAGACUACUACAUGCUGGAAGUGUACCAUAUUAAUUUGUCUAGCUUUGUACUAGAACAUAGAAGUCUGUGGAUGGACAACAACCAUAAUUUGUGUGCGUUUGGAGAAUAGUUUCAAUGCAAUCACAUGACAUCACUGUUUCUUUCAUUGUCAUCUGUAUGUUCACCUACUAAGGAUAUUUCAUUGUUAACUUUGAAUUAACUACUAUUUGUUGAAAUACUUGUUUCUUUUUCAACUGAUGUGUAUGUUUUACUUAAUGUAACUUCAACUUUACUGCUUUUUGUGUUAACAUUUUGGUACUUUGACAUAAACACUUUGGUAUCAAGGCCUGUCAUAUUUUCUCAUUACUUCAUUUUAAAAUAUGCACAUAUUUGUAUAUUUGAUAGACAACUAAUCAACACCAGCCAUUU